CCAGCCCUGACGCUUUGCUCCCUGCUCCCAUAGGCCCGUGGUGCUCGAGAGUCUCCACUGUCACCCAGAGACUUCAGAUGGUCCCCGAGGGAAUAAACGGGAUACUGACAAGAUGCUAGUGGUGAAACUUGUGUGACAGGAAGGCCAGGACUGCAGAAGCAAGUUCACAGAUACUAGAGUUGACUCUGCACCGAGGACAGAAGAAACUUGGUUCAUGACAUGGAAAUGGCUAGUUCAUGAUGUAAGGACCAUUCACGCCUUGGAAACCAGCACAAGGCCAGAACCACCAUCCAACAGGAGAACAAAGACCUGUUCCAUCAAAGUCCUCUGUUCUGGGAAAGUCCCUAAAUGGACUGACCUUGCUUCUGAAUUCAGCUUCUGACGGACUGUUCUUGCUGACUGAGGUGUGUCAACCCAGGAUGUGUUGUUGUUCUUAGAACCCCAUCCCGAGGAAGACUGGGGGACU